UACGUAGGGUGCAAGCGAUGUCCGGAAUUAUUGGGCGUAAAGAGCUCGUAGGCGGUUUGUUGCGUCGGCUGUGAAAUCCCGAGGCUCAACCUCGGGUCUGCAGUCGAUACGAGCAAACUAGAGUGUUGCAGGGGAGACUGGAAUUCCUGGUGUAGCGGUGAAAUGCGCAGAUAUCAGGAGGAACACCGGUGGCGAAGGCGGGUCUCUGGGCAACAACUGACGCUGAGGAGCGAAAGCGUGGGGAGCGAACAGG
rnacentral:rRNA from 1 species